AACGAACGCUGGCGGCAUGCCUAAUACAUGCAAGUCGAACGACCGGAGCAAUCCGGGAGUGGCGAACGGGUGAGUAACACGUGGGAACCUGCCCAGCGGUGGGGAACAACCGAGGGAAACUUCGGCUAAUACCGCAUACGCCCUUACGGGGAAAGAUUUAUCGCCGUUGGAGGGGCCCGCGUCCGAUUAGCUAGUUGGUGAGGUAACGGCUCACCAAGGCGACGAUCGGUAACUGGUCUGAGAGGACGACCAGUCACACUGGGACUGAGACACGGCCCAGACUCCUACGGGAGGCAGCAGUAGGGAAUAUUGGACAAUGGGGGAAACCCUGAUCCAGCAAUGCCGCGUGAGUGAUGAAGGCCUUAGGGUUGUAAAGCUCUUUCGCCCACGACGAUGAUGACGGUAGUGGGAGAAGAAGCCCCGGCUAACUUCGUGCCAGCCGCCGCCGUAA
rnacentral:rRNA from 1 species